rnacentral:lncRNA from 1 species
GUUUGAGCCAUUGACUACUAUUUUUAACGUAUCAUAUUAUUACACACCUUGAACCAAAAAAUAAAUUAAUGUAAUCACAUAAGAUUUGAAAUUCGGCCCAACAAAUAUGGUAUAACAGAUGUAAUUAAGAACAUAAGUGGAAACAUAUUAUAAGCAAAAGUAAACGACAUUUUGUUAACUUGAUUCACUAAUAAAGGUUGAAGGUGGCUUUCAGGAUACAAUAUAGUUAUAUGAACACAAAUGUACAUGCAUACGGUUCAAAAUUUAAAACUUAUGGAAGUCCAAUAGAAGUGACUAAACUAGAAAUCGCAGUCCAGAUAAAAGAGAUCCUGAUGA